rnacentral:pre_miRNA from 1 species
AGCCUGAUAUCUUGCUCGACCUUAUGUAUGGCGGUGAGCAAAUCAUCAGGUGCGU